rnacentral:lncRNA from 1 species
GUUUUGAGCAUCAUAUUUACCUCAAUUUCUAAUUUCUGUUAUAAACUCUAAGUUGACUAAUAAAAUAUUAUUCCUAUCUUUUGUUCAUUAGAGAUAGACUACUCAGUUGCCGAGUUGCCUGAAAGAUGGGAGAACAGGAAGAAAUGAAUGAAAAUGAAAAUGAAAAUCAAACUCUUGUUUUUUCAAACAAGACACAUCGAAGAGAAAUAUUGCAGAUGAUAAAUACUCCAUAAGGAAUCUUAAAUCAGCUCAGCAGCCUGGGAAAGGAUGGAGAAUAGCCUUAAAAAAAACAGCACCUAUAAAAAGAACUGGAUCAAAAGUAGAUGCCCGAUCACAUACCCACUGUGGUUGGGCUGAUAAAAAUAGCCACUUGCACAGAUUUAGUUCACUUCAAUGUCAGGCUUCCCUCCAACUACCCUGCCUCCCUCCCCCACCUUCAACUCGAUAAAUGAUUCCCAUGGCGGCGAACUUGGUGUUCAUAGCGGGUACUUUAGUGUCCUACACACCGAAGGACAGCCUGUAUCAGAUGCUGCAUUGAGAGGCAGCCAGUGGAAAAUGGAAAAAAUGACAUUGAUUGUGAAGAAACUGGGACAAAUGAAUUACUUCAUGAGUUUCUGCCUUAUUAUACACUCUGUAAGACUUUGCUAGAUUUAAAAAAAGGCCAUUCACUACAGCUCUUAAAACAUCAUUCCAUGCUAGUAUAGCACGGAAUUGGACCCAGGAGACAAGAUCAGAAAACAGAAGUAACAGGAACAAGAAGCAAUACCACUUAAUGCCUUUUUUGAGUAGUUCUGUGACACAUAACUGAGUAUCAAACCACCUGACUACAUGAAAGCCUUAUGAAUCAUGAUUUUUGAACAAUAUAUUUAGUUGACAACAUGUAAGUCCUCUCUCAUGCCUAUCUUUCAAUUUAACAAGUGAGAAGAAGUGUCAGAAUGGAAUCAGACUGAGAACAGAGUGUAGUAGGGACAUUUUCAAAAGCUCUGGAAUUGGGAGAGAAGCUGACCUUCAUUCUUUUCAUGGUUGUUCAACUGCCGUGGGUUCAGGUGAAGGAACAAUUACAUUGCAUUCUGCUCCUGUAGUUUUGGACUGGUUUUUUUUAUGCCUCUCAGAUUAGUUUUCUUUGCAUUUUUAGAUAUAUAAUCUUAGUAUUUGAAGUCUAAAAAGUGGGAAAAGACAUUGCUAAUGAUUUUAUUUAUGUAUACCACAUAAAACUAUGCUUUAAAAUUACUAGUUAAAAUCUG